AUUGAACGCUGGCGGCAGGCCUAACACAUGCAAGUCGAGCGGAUGAAGGGAGCUUGCUCCUGGAUUCAGCGGCGGACGGGUGAGUAAUGCCUAGGAAUCUGCCUGGUAGUGGGGGAUAACGUCCGGAAACGGGCGCUAAUACCGCAUACGUCCUGAGGGAGAAGUGGGGGAUCCUCGGAACUCACGCUUUCAGAUGAGCCUAGGUCGGAUUUGCUAGUUGGUGGGGUAAAGGCCUACCAAGGCGACGAUCCGUAACUGGUCUGAGAGGAUGAUCAGUCACACUGGAACUGAGACACGGUCCAGACUCCUACGGGAGGCAGCAGUGGGGAAUAUUGGACAAUGGGCGAAAGCCUGAUCCAGCCAUGCCGCGUGUGUGAAGAAGGUCUUCGGAUUGUAAAGCACUUUAAGUUGGGAGGAAGGGCAGUAAGUUAAUACCUUGCUGUUUUGACGUUACCAACAGAAUAAGCACCGGCUAACUUCGUG
rnacentral:rRNA from 1 species